GUCUACGGCCAUACCCCCUGAACGCGCCCGAUCUCGUCUGAUCUCGGAAGCUAAGCAGGGUCCGGGCCCUUUAGUACUUGGAUGGGAGACCGCCUGGGAAUACCGGGUGCUGUGGCUU
rnacentral:rRNA from 1 species